UACGUAGGGUGCAAGCGUUGUCCGGAAUUAUUGGGCGUAAAGAGCUCGUAGGCGGUCUGUCGCGUCUGCUGUGAAAACUCGGGGCUUAACCCCGGGCCUGCAGUGGAUACGGGCAGACUAGAGGUAGGUAGGGGAGAAUGGAAUUCCCGGUGUAGCGGUGAAAUGCGCAGAUAUCGGGAGGAACACCAGUGGCGAAGGCGGCUCUCUGGGUCGGACCUGACGCUGAGGCGCGAAAGCGUGGGGAGCGAACGGG
rnacentral:rRNA from 1 species